ensembl:lncRNA
GAAACCACAAGAGAGCAGAAAGAUUUGAGUUUCCCCUUUGGGGAAAAAGCAAUUCCUGCUAUUCCAGAAGAACUAGAGCCGCAGCCAGUCUGCCCUCCCACGUGCCCUUCUCCCAGGGUUUCUUGGCAGAAGCCAUCAUGGCAGGAUGACUGGAGGAUGCCUGCACGGUAGAGCUUUCCCCAGGGAGGAAGCCUGGAUUGAGUCUCCUCAGCAGGGCCUGGUUCGACUGGUGGCUCUCAGCCUCUCCCUCAGGGAGUGAGUGCAUGCGCUCACUUUUUCCAGUGGGCUUCUCGGUCUGAUUUAAUGGAUAUACCAGGACUGAUGACACAUCGGCACGGGAUCUUUCUUUUGCUUCUUGGACACCUGGUACCCUACUGUGCAGCUCAAAAGAAACUUGGAAAAUACAGACUGUCCAACACAUUCAGUUCUGUUGGUGCUAAGGUUCCCUGACUCCCCCUAGAUAAAAGAUUGCUCAGUUGUCUUCUCAGAACUGUGUCAAGGUUUAAAUUUGUUCUCUAUUUGCUAUGUCAAACAGAUGGCCACACUUCAUAUGCAGU